rnacentral:rRNA from 1 species
GAUGAACGCUAGCGGCAGGCCUAACACAUGCAAGUCGAACGGUAACAUGAGUAGCAAUACUUGAUGACGAGUGGCGCACGGGUGCGUAACGCGUAUGCAACUUACCUCUAACUGGAGAAUAGCCUUCCGAAAGGAAGAAUAAUACUCCAUAAUAUUACGAUGUGGCAUCACAUUGUUCUUAAAGCUUCGGCGGUUAGAGAUGGGCAUGCGUCUGAUUAGCUUGUUGGUGAGGUAACGGCUCACCAAGGCAACGAUCAGUAGGGGGCCUGAGAGGGUUAUCCCCCACACUGGUACUGAGACACGGACCAGACUCCUACGGGAGGCAGCAGUGAGGAAUAUUGGACAAUGGGCGCAAGCCUGAUCCAGCCAUGCCGCGUGAGUGAAGAAGGCCU